rnacentral:rRNA from 1 species
GACGAACGCUGGCGGCGUGCUUAACACAUGCAAGUCGAGCGGUAAGGCCCUUUCGGGGGUACACGAGCGGCGAACGGGUGAGUAACGCGUGGGUGACCUGCCCUCAGCUCUGGGAUAAGCCUGGGAAACUGGGUCUAAUACCGGAUACGACUCCAUGACGCAUGUUGUGGGGUGGAAAGCCUUGUGCGGCUGAGGAUGGGCCCGCGGCCUAUCAGCUUGUUGGUGGGGUGAUGGCCUACCAAGGCGACGACGGGUAGCCGGCCUGAGAGGGCGACCGGCCACACUGGGACUGAGACACGGCCCAGACUCCUACGGGAGGCAGCAGUGGGGAAUCUUGCGCAAUGGGCGAAAGCCUGACGCAGCGACGCCGCGUGAGGGAUGACGGCCU